GUUCCCCGCCGAGUCGAACCCGGGCCGCCUGGGUGAGAGCCAGGAAUCCUGACCGCUAGACCACAUGAUA
rnacentral:tRNA from 13 species